GAACGCUGGCGGCAGGCUUAACACAUGCAAGUCGAACGGUUCCUUCGGGGACAGUGGCAGACGGGUGAGUAACGCGUGGGAACGUGCCCAUCGGUUCGGAAUAACCCAGGGAAACUUGGGCUAAUACCGGAUACGUCCCUUCGGGGAGAAAGAUUCAUCGCCGAUGGAUCGGCCCGCGUCCGAUUAGCUUGUUGGUGAGGUAACGGCUCACCAAGGCGACGAUCGGUAGCUGGUCCGAGAGGAUGAUCAGCCACACUGGGACUGAGACACGGCCCAGACUCCUACGGGAGGCAGCAGUGGGGAAUAUUGGACAAUGGGCGCAAGCCUGAUCCAGCCAUGCCGCGUGAGUGAUGAAGGCCUUAGGGUUGUAAAGCUCUUUCGCACGCGACGAUAAUGACGGUAGCGUGGGAAGAAGCCCCGGCUAACUUCGUGCCAGCAGCCGCGGUAAUACGAAGGGGGCUAGCGUUGCUCGGAAUCACUGGGCGUAAAGGGCGCGUAGGCGGACAUUUAAGUCGGGGGUGAAAGCCCAGGGCUCAACCCUGGAAUUGCCUCCGAUACUGGAUGUCUAGAGACCGGAAGAGGUGAGUGGAACUGCUAG
rnacentral:rRNA from 1 species